rnacentral:rRNA from 1 species
AGUGAACGCUGGCGGUAGGCCUAACACAUGCAAGUCGAACGGCAGCACAGUAAGCGCUUGCUCUUACGGGUGGCGAGUGGCGGACGGGUGAGGCAUACAUCGGAUUCUACUUUUUCGUGGGGGAUAACGUAGGGAAACUUACGCUAAUACCGCAUACGACCUACGGGUGAAAGCAGGGGAUCUUCGGACCUUGCCCGAUUGAAUGAGCCGAUGUCGGAUUAGCUAGUUGGCGGGGUAAAGGCCCACCAAGGCGACGAUCCGUAGCUGGUCUGAGAGGAUGAUCAGCCACACUGGAACUGAGACACGGUCCAGACUCCUACGGGAGGCAGCAGUGGGGAAUAUUGGACAAUGGGCGCAAGCCUGAUCCAGCCAUACCGCGUGGGUGAAGAAGGCCUUCGGGUUGUAAAGCCCUUUUGUUGGGAAAGAAAAGCAGCAGGUUAAUACCCCGCUGUUCUGACGGUACCCAAAGAAUAAGCACCGGCUAACUUCGUG